AGUGGGGAAUAUUGGGCAAUGGGCGCAAGCCUGACCCAGCAAUGCCGCGUGGGUGAAGAAGGUCUUCGGAUUGUAAAGCCCUUUCGGCGGGGACGAUGGUGACGGUACCCGCAGAAGAAGCCCCGGCUAACUUCGUGCCAGCAGCCGCGGUAAUACGAAGGGGGCUAGCGUUGCUCGGAAUUACUGGGCGUAAAGGGCGCGUAGGCGGCCUUGUUAGUCAGGCGUGAAAUCCCUGGGCUCAACCUGGGGGCUGCGCUUGAUACGGCGGGGCUAGAGGACGGAAGAGGCUCGUGGAAUUCCCAGUGUAGAGGUGAAAUUCGUAGAUAUUGGGAAGAACACCGGUGGCGAAGGCGGCGAGCUGGUCCGUUACUGACGCUGAGGCGCGACAGCGUGGGGAGCAAA
rnacentral:rRNA from 1 species